rnacentral:lncRNA from 1 species
GCCGCCGCCUCCUCGCCCUCCUCCCUCCUGUCUUUCGUCCACUCUUCUCUCAGCGGGCGCUCCACGGCCCUGCUCUGGGCUCGCCUGAGUGCUGGGCUCUGCAGACGCAGGGAUGGGCCAGGCGAGCCCCUCACCACGGAGGUAGCAGGUCCAGAGGAAGCAGCAGAGGCUUCCUGGAGGAGGAUUUGUACCCCUAGGAGGACUAUGUCUUCCUCAUCUUUGUCUUCAGAGGAUAAAUACAAGGCCUGACACAUAACAAGCAUGAGAUUAAUUUACCCGAGGUCAACCACGGUCCAAAGAUAUUAAAUGGAAAAUUCCAGAAAUAAACAAUGUGUAAGUUUUCAGUUGCAUGCUAUUCUGAGUAGCAGGAUGAAAUCUCGUGCUGUCCGGCUUCGUCCCACCUGGGAUGUGAAUCAUCCCUUUGUCCAGUGGAUCCGCGCUAUAGACACUACUCUCCCAUCAGUCACUCAGCAGCUGCUUCAGUUCCCAGAUCAACUGUCGCAGGAUCGCAGUGCUUCUGUUCAAGUAAUCCUUAUUUUACUUCAUUAUGGGCUCCAAAGCACAAGAGGAGUGUUGCUGGUGAUUCCGAUAUGCCAAAGGAAAGCUGUAAAGUACUUCCUUUAAGUAGAAAGGUGAAAGUACUUGACUUAAUAAGAAAAUUUAAAAAACAAAAUUGUAUGCUGUGGUUGCUAAGAUCUACAGUAAGAAUGAUUCUAUUCAUGAAAUCGUGAAGAAGGAAAGAAAUUUGUGCUAGUUUUGCUGUUGCAACUCAAGCUGCAAAAGUUACAACACCUGUGUGUGAUGAGUGCUUAGUAAUGAUGGAAAAGCCAUUAAAUUUGUGGGUGCAAGACACGGACAGAAACGUUCUGAUUGACGGCAAUCAGGUUCCAUUGGGGGUAUUGGAACACAUCCCUGAGGAUAAUGGGGGACUACUGUAUUCUACCAACUUAUUCCUCUUGAAGAAUUCCCUUUCGGAUUUCUGACUGCUGAGUCCUGGACUGGUUGAUGGCAAGGCCAGCUGCCCUGGUUGUCACCUGGAGACUGUGCUGCACUUUUCUCCUGGGUCGAACCCCUCAAUUCCUAGAUCCCACGUCUUCCCCUUCUGGGUUCACUACCUUAUUUGGGGGAACAUAUACCCAUAGCUUUCUUUUUGUUUUAUUUUUUGUUUACCUAUUUAUUUAUCUUAUUUUAUUUUUUGAGACGGAGUCUCCCUCUGUUGCCCAGUCUGGAGUGCAGUGGUGUGACCUCGUCUCACUGCAGCCUCCACCCCCCAGGUUCAAGCAAUUCUCCUGCUUCAGCCUCCCAAGUAGCUGGGACUACAGGUACGUGCCACCAUGUCUGGCUAAUUUUUGUAUUUCUAGUAGAGAUGGGGUUUCUCCAUGUUGGCCAGGCUAGUCUCAAAUUCCUGACCUCAGGUGAUCCAACCGCCUUGGCCUCCCAAAGUGCUGGGAUUGCAGGCAUAAGCCACUGCGCCUGGCCCCAUGUAUACCUAUACUUUUCUAAAAGGAUGUGUUUGGGGUGAAAUCUUAAGACCUUGCCUUUCUAAAAGUGCCUCACAUUUAAUCAGAUAGUUUGACCAGGUAUAAAUUUCUAAACUGGAAAUAUUUUUCCCUCUGAAUUUUGAAGGCUUGCUCCAUUGUCUUCCAGUUUCUGCUGAAAAGUCUGAGGCCAUUCUGUUUCCUAAUCUUUUCUAGAGACUCUGUUCUCUCUUUCUGGAAGCUGUGUCCUCAGUGGGUCUUUUCUUUUAAGAGAAGGGAUCCCAUCGCCACCGAGGCUGGAGUUCAGUGGCACAAUCAUCGCUCACUGCAGCCUUGACCUCCUGGGCUCAAGGAUCCUCCUGCCCCAGCCUCCUGAGUAGUUAGGACUACAGGCUCAUACCACCAUGCCUGCUCAGCCUUAGUGUGUCUUGAAGUGAAUCGAUUUCCAUUCACUGUGCUGGGUACCCAGUGAGUCCUCACGGACAAACUAAUCAUCUUCAUUUUGGAGAAAAUUUAAAAGAAGUACCUCUAUAAUGAUUUUAUUUUUUCUUUCAGGAACUCCUUAAUUAUUCAAAUACUGGCCCUCCUGGAGCAGUUCUCUAUAUUUCUUAUAUCCUUUUUCCACCUAUUUUUCAUCCCAUUUUGCUCUUCAUUCUGGAAAUGUUCUUCAACUCUUCAACAGUUUUUUGUUGUUUUUCAAAAAUUUAUCUUAUCAUAUUUCCAAAAGCCUUUUGUUUGUUCUUUGACUAUUCCUUUUUUUAGAGUAUCUCGUUCUUUUCUCACGGAUGCAAUAUUUUCUCUUAUUUCUUUGAGGAUGUUAGUAAUGUUUUGUUGUUGUUUCUGUUGAAGUGUUUCUCACCAUGCCUAAUCUCUUCUUUGUCCAAGUUAAUUUUUUUUUCUGAUUGUUGAAAAGACAAGCCACAUACUGGGAGAAUAUAUUACAGCACAAAUAACGCACAAAGCAUUACUAUCCGGAAUACAUAAGUAAUUCUUACAAAUUGGUAAGAAGACAACUCAAUUAAAAAAGAGCAAAAGAUAUGAAUGAGCAUUUCACAGCAGAAAAAUAUGAAUGAAAAAUAAACCACAAGAAAAGAUUCUCAGCCUUAUAGAAAUCAGGAAAAUGUAAAUUAAGACCACAGGAAGAUUUUCCAUGGAAAAGAAGUCCCAUAGUGGCAAGUAUUGGAGAGGCAGGAAUCAACAGGGAUCCUUAUAUGCUCCUAAUGCAGUGUAAAUUGCUGCAACCACUUUAGAAUAUUGCGAUUUCAUUACUAAGUGUAAACCCUGGAGAUACACUUGCAUGCAAGCACCCAGAGACAGGUGCAAGGAUAUUCAUAGCAGUGCUGUUUAUUAUGGUAAAAACAUGGAAACCACCCUAAUGUCCUUAACAGUAAAAUUAAUUAAUUGUGGCAUCACCAUAUAAUGAAAUCCUAUACAGCAGUGGCAAUGAGUCUAACAUAGCUGUGGCUGGAUACAGAAGGAAUCAUAGAAUUAUAAUGCGGAGUGAGAAAAGCCUGUUGCAGAAGACUACAUACAACAGGAUUUGACACUUGUAAGGCUCCAAAACAAAGAAAAUUAAAUGAUAUUGUUUAGGUUUUCAUACAUAGGUGAUAAAAGUGUGUUUCUUUGUUUUUAAUGAGAAAAUUAGUCACAGAAUUUAAGAUCUUAGUUACUUCUAUAGGGAAGGCAGGGGAAUGGGACAAGGAGGAAGCCCACAGCAUUGGUCAUGCUCUCAUGUUGAAGUUGGGUUCAAAGGUGUUCAUUAUUAAAAUGCUUCAUAAUGAUGACCAUACAUUUGGUAUUUCUAGGACAAUCUUGGUUUACAUCUAUUGUCUCAACAUAAUUAUUCAGUGCAAGCCUUUCCUUUCUCAGAAAGGUCCUAAUGUAGAUAAUAAAUUAUUUUGGCCAACUUAUUUCUUAUAAAAUGCAACAUGCAUCUCUUUUGUAUGUAUCUAUUAUUCCAUAAUCUAUACAGGUGUUUUUGUUUUUUUGUUUUUGUUUUUGUUGUCAUUGUUGUUGUUUGUUUGUUUUUUUGAGACAAGCCUCUCUCUGUUGCCCAAGCUAGAGUAAAGUGGCACGAUCUGAGCUCACUGCAACCUCCGCCUCCGGGUUCAAGCGAUUCUUGUGCCUCAGCUUAUCAGGUAGCUGGGACUACAGGCACCCACCACCACAUCUGGCUAAAUUUUUGUAUAUUUAGUAGAGACAGGGUUUUGCCAUGUUGCCCAGGCUGAUCUCGAACUCCUGGCCUCAAGUGAUCUGCCCACCUCAGCCUCCCAAGGCUAGGAUUACGCUAAGAUUAUAGACAUAAAUCAGCGCACCUGGCCUCCAUAAUCGAUAUAGUUUUUAAUACUGGGGCCACAGCCUGGCCACAGUCUCAUGGGAUGUUUGUGGUUUGACCCUAACAACCUUGUGAACCAGCCUGGGUAACUGUCCUUGGGGCCUCAAUGAACCAAGCCCUGGAGCACCCAGUCCCCAGAUCCUUCUGGCCACUCUGACUCCCUGUGCCCUGGACCCCACACCUCACCUGUCCUGGGCCCCACUCUGUCCUCUCCUCCACUUCUCACUGCCUGUGGAGCCAUCUUCCAGGGGCCCUGAAACCUCACCCACAAUCCAGGUCCACCCAGGGCCCCUGUGCCAGGCCCCAUGCUGGGUGAUAUUGGGGAACCAUCUUGGGGGCAGCUGGAGAUGGAAACCGUGACAACCCAGUGGAUCAAGGCUAUGGCACAGACCAGGCUGUGACACUGCAGAGGAGAGGGCUUAGCCCAACCUGGGGCCCAGGGAAGGCUGCCUGGAGCUGUUUUGAAGUCUGACGGGAGUGAGCUGGGUAGGGAAAGUGGGGGGAAGAGUGCUCCGGGCAGACAGGACAAAGUGCAGACAGUAGGGUAAGGAGGCACGGUGGGGGACGCAGCUCACAUGUUGCUGUGAGCAGAGCACAGAGCACAGGGCAGUGCCUGGCAGAAGUGGGUCUGGAAAGGGUGCCUCCUGGAGCCAUGAAUGCCAAGCCCAGGGUCUUGGACUGUAUCCUGAAGGCAGCAAGGAGGCACUGAAGGCAUUAGAGCGAAGCAAGGAGAACUGUCAGGCCAGAGGAGACUAUACCCAAGGAAGAAGAAACCAGAGAAAGGACAGGAAGGUUUGGUGGCAGCGACUAGUCUCGAGACGGCAGUCCCCAGAACAGGGCUGGAUGUGUCCCCACCAGUAGACAGGCCCAGAUGCAAGGCCUCUGAUGUGUCUGCCGCUGCAGCCUCCAUUCCUAGGGUGGUGACUCAAUAAAUAUGUGCUGAAUGAAUGAAUGAAUGAAUGAAAUGUCAUGACUUCCAGGUACCCCACUGAUGUGGUUUGACUGUGUCACCACCUAAAUCUCAUCUUGAAUUGUAGCUCCCACAAUCAGGUGUUGUGGGAGGGACGUGAAUCAUGGGGGUGGGUUUUUCCCAUGCUGUUCUCGUGAUAGUGACUAAGUCUCACAAGAUCUGAUGGUUUUAUAAAGGGCAGUUCCCCUACACACGCUUUCUUGCCUGCCACCAUGUAAGAUGUGCCUUUGCUCCUCCUUCAUCUUCCGCCAUGAUUGUGAGGCCUCCUCAGCCAUGUGGAAUUGUGAGUCCA